UGUCAGUGCAGAGCCCUACGUGGCCUCAUAAACUGUGAGAUCAUAACCUGAGCCAAGCUAACUGAGCCACCCAGGUGUCUCUAGGUAGAGCCAUUUUAAAAGGACAGAGCCUUGAGCAUGUGUUGCUAAAGCAUCUGGAGGGGACAGAUGAAGAAACCCAGUUAAGGCCUCUAUACAGAUUUUCACGAUUCUGGAAGGCAGGUAAGGAGAUCUGUUCAUUUCACAGCAACACAAGAAAAAUCUUAUAAGGUCUCUUGCUUAUUCAACCUGCCAUCUACCAAUCUGGAGUGGCUGGCCUGUUUCUUCAGUCUUUCCUUGGCCUCUAUGAAUGGGGGCCAUUGUCAUGUUUCCCCUGAGAAGCUGCCACAGGUGCAAACCAACAAUACCAAGAACUCACUGUCCACUGUUCAGUUUUUUAACCCAGGCUCAUCUAUGGUUUGCAAAUGAUGCUGAGUGCCUUUUCAAAAAGGCGAGGAUAAUUCUUGUAUUAUCCAGAUAUCUUUCCUACGUCUCUGCAGAUAUUUAAUUGGCAUUGAACCUUGUUGCCAUUUUGAGGAACUAUUGUGCUACUCUUGUGAUGAAUACUGUUAUGGGGUCUGCUUAGUUUUAUAUGCCUUAGGAUAUAAUUGGAUAGUGUAAUGGCCGUACUUAAGAAUUCACUUUUAUGUAUAUUAAAGCCCUUUGUAAAGUGCUAUGAAAUGACAACAUAAUUGUUAUUGUUGUUACUCCCAACAACUGUUGAGCUGGUGCUUUCUCAGCAUAGUCACCAUGAGGAAAUACCUGGAUGAUUGAAUCCAUUCUUUGUUUUUAAAAUGUCCAUUGACUUGAAGACUUUUUCCAAGGACAGGAAGCAAAAUUUAACACAUGCUUCUAGGCUUCUCUUUAUAUUCUCAAGUAUGGUUUACAGCCUCGAGCAUGGUUGUCCUUUCUGACAGAACUAUCUUUUAUCUUCUUUUACAAGAUAAGAUUGAUCUAUUUUUUAAGCUAAUACACCACUGGCUUUAUAUCCUUGUUGUAGGCUUUGGGAAUAGGUUAAAGCUUCUUUGUGUUGCAUUAUUUACUGUGCAGCUACAUUCAAAAACACAAUGAGUAUACUGAAAUUAAUAACUCUAGAAGGGUGCAAAGUGAUAGUAUUCACAGUCAAUUAUAGAGAUGAUCUAUUACAUUAAUAUAAUACUGAUGCUAUUUGAAUGCAAUAUAGUGAAGAAAAAUAAAGUGGCAGGCUAACAGAAUUUCAGUUUUUGAGUUCAGAAAAAAAAAGAUAAAUGGUUAGCGGGCGUGGUUUAAUAGCUCAAAUGCAUAUGCUAUAAGCUCUUAUUUCAAUGUCAGCUCUUAGCAAAGGACACCAGGCAAAUGAACUUGAAUAUCCAUUUGAUUUACUAGCUUCUUAAAAACUGAAUAAGGUUUUAUAUACUUUGUAAAGACUUACUAGCAAAAAGGAUAAGAGGUGGGUUUUAAUGGAGGUAAUCCUCUAAGAAAUUACUCCUUAGCAGUUAGAAAUACAGAAAAGCAAGAUAAACUUGAAAUAAGCCUGAUAAAUCCUAUCUUACUCAUUGUCUUCACUUAAUAGGUACCUUGGAUCUGGAUUAAGCUGUGCUCAGUAGUCACCCUGAGAAAUUCUAUUCUUUAUGUAUUCUCUUUCCACUCCUCCUCUUACUGAGCUAAUGAUUACUUUCCCACCUACAAGUUAUGAAUGAAGUCACUGAAUGCAAUUAUUGGGUGGAGUUCUUGGAUUAAGAUCACGGAUCUUUAAUGAGCCUUCAUGGGUUCUAUAAAUGGUGAUUCUCAGACCUGCCUGGGCACCAGAAUCACCUAUGUAGCUGGUUAGAAAUACACAUGCCUGGGUCUCCUUCCCAUAGGAUUGAUUCUAUAUAUCUGGGAGGACCCAGGAUAGAUGUAGUUUAUGAUACAGAAAGAGGAUUGAGAACCCUUACCAUUGUUGGUUCAAAGUACAUUUUAUUAAGAGGUGGGAAUUGAAAAAAAAUAAGUAUGCUAUAACAUUAAUUUGAAUUUAUAUUAUUUUAUAUAUUUUAUGCAUGUAAAUUAAUUUUUAUUAUGCAAAUAUACCUGUAUACUGUAGAAGCAUAAGAAAAUACAGAAGCACAAGGAGAAAAAUAGUUUCAAAUAUGACCAGUUAAUUUUUUAAAAAAAUACAGAUGGACACUGAGAUUUUAAUUAUAGUAAGAGAGCAUUUGCCUUUGAAAUUAGAAAUAGAAAUCCAAGGGUGCUCCAUAGAGUUGUUGUUCUUGUGUAUUGGUUGAUGUUCUUUACUGAAGGGAAGAUCUUAUCCACCCUUUAUUCCUCCACCCAAAUAUUUUUCUGUUUUUUUUUUCUUCUUCAAGGAAUUGGCAUAUAUGAGUUUAAUAAGGGGGUUCAGCAAAGCUAAUAAUGGGCUUUUGGAAUUAUCAAUUCUGGAGACAGACCAAGCUGGUGAUGGCAGUUCACUCAUUCAUUCAUUUAUCUAUUUGACAAAUAUUUAUUGAGCACCUACUAAUAUGCCAGACACUAUGCUAUGUGUUGGGAAUAUUCAAUCCCUUCUCUGGAGAAACUUCAGACUCUAGUAUAGGAUAUAGACAGACAAACAGACUGUUUAUGUGCUGUGAAAGAUAUGUAUAGGAUGUGUUUAGUACACAGAUAAGAGAUAUCUAAAUCAGAAUGGAGAGUCAAGGGGGAUGAAUAUAAAGAAGGGACAUAAAAGCAGGGUAUCAGAGGUAGAAGACACAGAUGGCCAUUUAGAGAUUUUGGAAAUCUUCAUCAAGGGGUCUUCACUUACUCUAUUUACUGGGAAAGCUCUUCUUUGUUCCCUGAUACUAUUAUUAUUUUUUGUAGUAUUUUGGUUUCUUUUUCAUAGAUGCAUUAUCUUUUAUUGUAUUUCCAAAGGUCUCAAUAAUAUUUUGAAAUUUUCUUUUCCUUGCAUAGUUUGUUUCUUCUGAGAAGCAUUUUCAGUUUUGUUUGUUUUGGUUCCCGUCUUUCACGGUAGAGUUCACAUAGUUCUGAGAAGUCUCUUGCAAUCUCCUGCCAGAUGAAUUAUCUAUCUGCCUGACUUUCAACUUCUGUGAAGGGCAGGGGGUAAGAACAUUGGGGGUGCAGCACUCACAAUGUAAACAUUCACCAGGGAAAAGGGGUCACCCAGCUAAUCUGGUUUUAUAAUGGUGGGAUAACUGGUUCUUAAGAUUUUCCACCAAUUUUCAUAUUUUGACUUUAUUUUCACCUACACCUCAGGCAGGGGUGGGAGUGGUGCAGUCACAUGGUAUAAAUGAGGCUGCUUCUGAAAGCCCCCUUACCUGUUUUGCAUUUGCCUUCCUGUGCCUGCUGUCAGUUACCAUUUGUCAGGUAUUUACUUUCUGGCUUCAAAAUGUUUGUUAUUUUUCUCUAACUCUGCUGUUCUCUUUGUCUUUGUAGCUUUGUGUCUUAAAGCAAAGCAAAACAAAUAAAACACCACCAUUAUGAGAUGGUUUCAGGAAGGGGAGAAAGUGAAUUCAUGUAUUCUGUUUGCCUUUUGACCUGCACCUAAGUGCCUCGUUUUUGUAGGAUACUGUGCUAAGAAUUUAAUUAAUAAUAAUUCUAGGUAAAACAGGCAUUAUUAUUGUAUUACUUUUGCAGAUUGGGGAACUGAAUUUCAGAGUGAUUAAGUGGCCAAAGAACAGACAAAUGGCAGAGCUAUGGCUAAUAAGUGGCUCUCCAAUCUGUGGAGUGGUUCACAAAGAUGAUAAGAUUUUGGGCUAGCAUUGCUUCACAGACAAGCUCCUUAUCCUGUCCCUUAUCAGGGUUAACCCUGAUCCCAAACCCAGUUUUGGGGACUAUGAUAGUGAGGGCCUUGAAGAGAACAUUGGUCGUGGUAUGCCAUGCGAGAGGCCCUGUUCCCUAAAGAGCUGACUUUUAUCAGGUCUAUCAUUAGUAUGGAUUGGACUGUUUUCUGAUACAAAUUCUUUCUUUUAGGAACUUGACAAAGUUGCAUUUUGAUGAUCUAUUUUAGUAUUUUGCUAAUUAUGAAACACAGACCACCUGCUUUCAAAAUAAGGUGCUGGAAUGGAGAAUAAUAGAGAUGUAAAUAUGGUGCCUUUUAUGGGCAAAAGCAGAUUUUUUAGCAGCAUGUUUUAAAAAAUUAGAAAUUUAACAGCUGUUUUGCAAAAUAAGUGAAAUGCUUCCAUCUUGCUAAAGAAUAUGCACAGGUAAUUAAUUUUAAAGAAAAACUUGUGACCUCAUUUGACAGUAUUAGCAUCACUAAAUUAAUUAA